ACCACUCGAUAGGCAUGUCCUUUGAUCAUCCUGUAUUCAUGUAGACAUGGAAGGGAUCUGGAAUACAUACUGCAUAGGAUUAUGGAAGAUUGUAUACAAGUCAAUUCUCUCCUGUGCCACAAUUAUCAAGUACACAGGAAAAUUGUGACAUAGUUCAGCUUUGAAAGGUGCAACUAUACGUGAUCUAUGUGAUCACAUCUGUAGUAGAAAUCAUUGGAU
rnacentral:lncRNA from 1 species